GAUGAACGCUGGCGGCGUGCCUAAUACAUGCAAGUCGAGCGAACGGAGGAUAAGCUGGCUUCUCUGAUAUGAGCGGCUGAUGUGUCAGUAACAGGUGGGUAGCCGACGUAUACGACUGGGAUAACUUCGUGAAACCGCAGCUAAUCCCGGAGAAUAAUCGGAACCGCAUGGUUCAAAAGUGAAAUGCAGUCUUGCUUUCACUUAUAGAUGGAUCCGCAGUGCAUUAGCUAGUUGGUAAGGUAAAGGCUUACCAAGGCAACGAUGUAUAGCCGACCUGAGAGGGUGAUCAGCCACACUGGAACUGAGACACGGUCCAGACUCCUACGGGAGGCAGCAGUAGGGAAUUUUGGGCAAUGGGCGCAAGCCUGACCCAGCCAUGCCGCGUGAGUGAAGAAGGCCUUCGGAUCGUAAACCUCUUUUAUCAGGGAAGAAAAUAUGCUGACUAAUCUGUGCGACUCUUGACGGUACCUAAUCAGAAAGCAACGGCUAACUACGUG
rnacentral:rRNA from 1 species